GUCGAGUUUCUUAAUCACCAAAAUUACUGUGGUUUCUUUGCAGAGAAUGAAUCUUCUUCAUCUUCUUCGACAACAGUUUGUACGCUUCUUCUUUUCUUACUAGUCCUACAUGGCUUUAUCAGAGCCCUGAUCAAUCUCAAGCCUUGUAGAUAAGGGGAGCUUGCACUGGAAGGAGCUCAUUAUUUGACAACCGCGGAGGUCGUGAGUCUCAGUGAGCAGCAGCUUGUGGACUGUGAUCAUGAGGAAGUGAGAGGCUUGUCUUGUUAAGCUUUCAUGAACAAGAGCUAAAGCUGCUAGUAUAUGCUUUUGCCUUUGAAAUAUAGGUUUGGAUCUUUUCCUUCAAGUCUGAGAAUAAUGAACUACCAAGAGAGUUUUGUCCUGUAAACCAUAUGUAAACCAUGUUUGCUGCAAUAAAAGUUAUUUCUUCUGUUCCAAAAUC